UGCUGCUGAAAUGAAGUUAAGUUUGGAAAGAAGUGAUACCUCUAGACUGGGUUUAUAUUAAUCUGUGAUAUAAAUGAAGAAGACAUAGUAAUAGAACUCCCUGCUUUUAAUUGGGGAAAUAGGGCUUUAAUCAUUUUGACCUCAACUAAAAAUGAUAUGCAAUAGUCUAUGUUUGUGUGUGUUUGAAAUACAUUCUGUUCUCAGAGAUUUCUACAUUCUCACGUUCUAGUGAUUUGGGGCGUGGGCUUACUAGCAGAUGUACAGUGUAUUCCUGCAUAAUUCUGAUUCACCCUUAAAGCCCAGUUCUUGCUGUCUUCUACCAGGGGUUGCUGACUCCAGUUACCCAUGGAAUGCGGGACCUGGGAGGGGUAGCAAUUAGGGUCUUUCAAAACUCUUUGGAUCUUAGCAUUUGUCUCUCCUUAAGUGCCAGUCACAAUUGGAUAUGGAAGGACUGUGAUUUCUGCAAUGAACCCUAACUUUUAGAGUAAAAAGCCAAAUCUUUUUUAAAUUCUAUGAAAGAAGGGAAAAAAGAGAAAAAACUCAAGUUUAUUACUUGCAGUAACUACAUUACAGAAAUUACAUAACACAUGGCAAUUCUUAGCAAUGGAAUCCCUCUAGGAUUCUAGUUUGGGCUUUGUCUGGAUUUGCUUUUCUCAAUUGUGCUUUGAAGUGAAUAAGCUUUGUUAUAAAUUACUUUUUUAUUAGUUCCAAUAUUAGUUGGAGUUAACUUGAAUUGUAUGUAGCACAGCACUUUUGCAGUGAGAUUGGUGUGAAAUACUAAACACUAUGGAUUUUGUAGGUGUCAGGUUAAAUCGUCAAGGGAUACCUACAUUAAGUAAUAUAUUAGGUAUUGAUGAUCUUACUUCUUUUCUGUUCCCCUCUACAAAACACUUACCUAACCCAGCUUGUGGUUUUAGGACAGCCAAAGCUCACUGUGGUGGGUUAGUCCUAAUCGCUACACAGGUUUCAUAUAUGAGACUUGUUUGAAUUUUGGUAAAUUGGAGCAUGUUGGUUGGUAUUACACAGCAGCAUUUCAAAUGAGUGCAGCUCUGUAUCUGUCCAAAAGGAGAGAUAAGACUAAUUUGAAGGGAAUUCAAUAUGUGAGUCCUCUUUUUAAUGGUGCUUUUUGUAACCUUUAAUGCUGAGGUACAGAGCUGCUUUUCAAUAUUUCAUAAAGGAGUGGCAGACAAGAGUGGAUUUUAAAGCUGUUCUUCAAAUGUAAUUUGUCACUGGACUCUGACACACCUGGAAAUUAUAUGAUAUGACACAUACAGAAAUGUGGGUUUUUUCCAUAAAACUUUAAUAAAAGUAUUAUACAGCAA
rnacentral:lncRNA from 1 species